AGCAGCCGCGGUAAUUCCAGCUCCAAUAGCGUAUAUUAAAGUUGUUGCAGUUAAAAAGCUCGUAGUUGAACUUCGGGGUCUACCCAUUGGUCAGGCUUAAUUGUCUGCACUGGUGAGAUGGAUCUCUACCUUCUGAGGAACUUUCAUGCCAUUUAUUUGGUGUGGUUGGAAAUCAGGACUGUUACUUUGAAAAAAUUAGAGUGUUUAAAGCUAGACUAUCGUCUGAAUACAUUAGCAUGGAAUAAUGAAAUAGGACGGACUGAUUCUAUUUCGUUGGUUCUAGGAUCACCGUAAUGAUUAAUAGGGAUAGUUGGGGG
rnacentral:rRNA from 1 species